rnacentral:pre_miRNA from 1 species
UGAGGUCAGCUGCUCUGACAAUGUUGCACUACUGUACCAUCCAUUCUAGCAGUGCAAUAGUAUUGUCAUAGCAUUUGGCCUCUGC